ACCCCGAUCACAACUUAGUCAUCCUUUCAUGUCAAUUAUUUCCACUUUUAAAAUAACUGCUUGCUCUUUUCAUUUAAGUGUUUUGGGAGUGUCUGACAGGUUCUUUGUCACAAACAAGUUCUCAAGUCCAUUGCCCCCAGGACAGAAUGCAGAGGGACCAGUUCAAUGGAAUCCUGGUUGAACUCAAUAACCCCGCGUGAAGAGAAGCAACAGUAUAAAGGACGGAGACGGAGACACAGAAAGCACAUCUUCCUGAGAGACAUCACAGACCUCCAUCCUCAGAGCUCCAUCUCCCUUCUUCUCCACCCGACCUCCACAAGAGUCUCUCCACCUGCUGCUGCCUCUUCUCCACCAUGAAGACAGGUGUUCUGCUCCUCCUGCUGGCAGUUGCUGCCAGCCAGGUGGACGUCUCCAUGUCUCAACAAAUGACAUUUGGUAUUUCUGGGGGAGAGUUUGAACUGAGCUCGUGUCCCAUCACCUUCUAUGGACGC